UACGAGGGGGGCAAGCGUUGUUCGGAAUUACUGGGCGUAAAGCGCACGUAGGCGGCUUUGUAAGUUAGAGGUGAAAGCCCGGGGCUCAACUCCGGAAUUGCCUUUAAGACUGCAUCGCUAGAAUUGUGGAGAGGUAAGUGGAAUUCCGAGUGUAGAGGUGAAAUUCGUAGAUAUUCGGAAGAACACCAGUGGCGAAGGCGACUUACUGGACACAUAUUGACGCUGAGGUGCGAAAGCGUGGGGAGCAAACAGG
rnacentral:rRNA from 1 species